rnacentral:lncRNA from 1 species
AUAGUUUGAAUUUUGUGGAUAGAGGACAAAAAUUUAUCAAUGCACCACUUUUUUUAGAUAAAAGUCCUUGAGCCCUGGUUUAAAGCCUUUUACUGAAAGCAGAUCAUAAACAAAUUACGGGUGCUGGGGUUACCAGCUCACAAUCCAGGUUCAGAACACAGAAACUAAAACUCAGUUUAACUAGCCACAGCCAAAACAGACUAACACUAAACAAACCCUUACUCACAAUACAAUCAUCCCACCAAAUAUCUUCCAAAGACCAAAAGAAAGAAAACAGUCUAUCCCACUCCAGUUCUCCAUCUGAUAUGAUUCAGAUUACUAGCCACUCCCUGGAUCUCCCGAAUCAUUUGUUCCAUGCCAUCUUCUUCGUUUUGCUUCAGCAACGUCUUCCAGUGCCUAAGAAGCAAAAUGAGAUGAAAAAUAAUUGUUAAAGGGGAAGUAAUCGGUUUCUUUCUAAAGAUCAUAUCAUUUCUAACAAUCCAAAGAUUCCAGCUAACAGCCACAAGCAAGGCAACUCUAAUUCGCACUUGUUUGUUACCAGCUCUCCCUAGCAUUAACCAAUGAAAAUGUUCAAAAUUAGUAGGAAUCAUACUCCAACCCAAAGCAUCUCUGCAAAUGCACCACACAAAAACAUCCGUAGGGCAAUCAAAAAUAAUAUGUUGAGUAUUCUCUAUUAGGCUGCAUCUGCAACAGAAUUCAGAGCCACCCCAACCUCUCUCUUUUGAUUGCACUGGCAAUUGUAUUCUAUCUUUUUCUGCUAGCCAAAGAAAAUGUUUAAAUUUCAGAGGGCAAGAGGUGUUCCAGAUAUCCUCCAUUCUAGCAUCCUUUACACAUCUAAGCCUUAGAGUUCUGUACAUAGAUCUAACAGUAAAACUCUUAGUGUUUUCUAGCUCCCAUUAGAUUUUGUCAACAUCUCCUACUAGUUGAACAUCUCUAAUUUUUGCUUCUAGCUCAUGCCAACAUCUUAAAGUCAAAAUCAAUAAAAGAUCUUCUAAAAGUUAGAUUAUGAAAAUUACCAUCCACCACCUCUUCAACCAUUGCCUCUUGUUGAUUACAAAUGUUAAAAAUAUUACUAUACAUUACUUUUAGUGAUACAUCAUAAAGCCAAACAUCAUUCCAAAAAUUGACCUGGUUUCCAUAUCCUAGUGACCACUUGCUAUCUAUCUUAAAUCACCUCUUAAUUUGUAACAAACCUUUCCAAAAUUGAGAAGCACCAGAUCCAUCACUUUGGAAGAAACAAGAACCAUAAGAUAUUUCCUCCUUAGGAGGUUCAGACAAGGACUCCUCAGACAUAAUAUCAAAAAUCCAUUUGGAUAACAAAGCAAUAUUCAUACUUCUAGUGUUAGUAAACCCAAGCCUCCAAACUCUUUAGGUAGAGUCAGAUCACUCCACUUGAUCAUAUGAUACUUCCUUUUCUCACUAAUGCCAACCCAGUAAAAUUUCCCUCUAAUAGAAUUCAUUUAUUUUUAUUAGUCAAACUCUUCUUGCGUUCCCUUUCCUUUUCUUCCUCCACCUCAUUAAAACUCUUAUCCUGCACCACAGGAUCAAAUAACAUAUCCUUCUCCAAUUUUUCUUCCUUUUUCAGUUGCUCAUUCCCCAAGCUGAUUCAGCUAUGCACCAUUUUUUUAUUGGGCUGCUGGAGGAUUUUGGUUCUAACAUACUGUCCAUGAUGCAGGAGCUUGCAACCGUGGUCCCAACACUUGAUACUUCAGGACUUGAUCUUCUAUCUGUAAGUGACCUGUUGAUGUUAUUGAUUCCAUGCUGCAUUUCAUAUGAUUUCCCCGCAGAAACAAAGGCCACUUUUCCUUUGUAGUUUACUCAUUAUUUCUGUUAUAUAUAUUCGGCUUGGUGGUGUUUGGGUUGUUUAGUGGACUAUUGGGAUUGUUGCCAGGUUCUAAACUUGAGUUCCCACAUUAAUUCGGGCACACAUGUGAACACAUUCCCUUCUCUGUAGUAUAUUUUGCCAUGCUAUAAGCAGUAAACAGACAGUAGGUGCAUCUUGAUUGUCACCUAUCAGGCUGUAGCCAUGUAUUCAUUUCUCUUGCUAUGUUGGUCGGAGUGCACUUUAUUAGUUGUAUGUAGACAGGGAAGUCUCUAACAUGGAUAUUGGGUAAUUGGAGUCUGUCCAUUCUCAUUAUAUGGCUGUACCGCCAUUUACAUUAAACACCAAGCAAAAAAUUGCAUUGCUUAUGAAUUUAUUUUUUUAAUCCGUGUGAAGCAUUGUAUGCUGAAUCACACGUAUCAGAAUUAGAGCACACACUACCAAGAACUAGAUGAUAUACUAUCAGUGACAUUAUUUGCUUCCCACCUUUCAUUUCUCCAUCACAAACACUUUUAUUUUCUGUUUUUGUGCAUCCAUGCCCUUGCUGACUGCUGUACUCGCCUCACACAGAAAAUGCUCCGUUUAGAUCCAAGCACAAGAAUCACCGCCCGUGCUGCCCUCGAGCACGAGUACUUCAAGGACCUGGAAGUAGCGUAGAUUAUGUUUCAUCUUGCCCCAUUGUAAAUUAAAAUUGCAUUGAUUGCUCAGCCGAGUUCUUUUUUGGCUUUCCCUAAUCUAAGUUCGUGUGCUCUUCCCCCAUUCUUAUUUUUGCCCUUCGGUUGUGUAGAGAUGAGAACAGAAGGUACCACCUUGCUGUCUCCGUGUAAGUCGUUCCAAUUAAGAAAGAUCCUUUUUCUGGGAGCUCUACGUUGCAAUUUUGUGUCCUAUCUUAUCUUUUUUCACUUGUGCUUAUACUUAUUAUAAACCAAAAUUGAAAUUUUUAACCUUAAAUUUGGAGUUGAUUUUGGGUUCUCUUAUCGUAGUUUAUUUUUCAGCCUUAGUUUUUAGAUUACUAAGAACAUAUAUAUAAACGUUUAUUUAAAUAUUAUUUUUUGUUUGCAAAUACAUCGUUUCAUUAUCCGUGAAGCCUAGAUCCAAGGUCCCAGAGCAUUGCCUGGUCAUUAAUCUGCCAAUAUGGCAUGGACUUCUCCAGCCAACCAAUCAGUUUAAUUUCACUAUUUUACGGCAUUUUUCAACUGAUGUGAAAAUGUUUGAUCUUAUAUCUUCUUUAAAGAUUUGACAUACUUCACUUGCUGGAAUACAUGCUCAUGGGAAUGGACCAUUGGAAUCAGAAAGAAAGUUACUGUUGCAUUUGGCCUCACGCCUGAAUGUUGCUAUGGAUCGGAGGACCAAUGACAAUGAAUCGAUUUUUGUAUGCAAGCGAUGGCGAUGUUCUUGUGCAGUGGAGUAUACAAGAGGAGGAUUCAGCAGGACGAGUUAAUGGCCUUAAAUUGUGUCCCCAAGAAGCAGCGAAAGCAGUUGGACAAUACUGUUGCAGACUUGCAGGUGCAGUGCAGGGUAAAUAUAAAGUGAGGCACAUGUAAAAGCCGUCUGCAAUGACACCGUCACGAAGAUGACGUGAAUAUGUCUGAAAAUUAUCAAAUCAUCUGUCGGUUUAUAUGUACCUAGACAUUUUACGUGACGUGUUUGGAUGGAUAUGUUGAUUGAUAAAAUGUCCUUGCACGUGGAAAUGUGACAAUUUUAAAUCUUGAGUAAAUUGCAUAAAACUAUAUAUAUAUAUAUAUAUAUUGAUUAAAUUAUCCCAAAACUAUAUAUUUAAAGUGAUGUAUCGGAAAACUAUAGAUUUAAUUCUAAAUUUAUCACAAGACUAUAGAUCAAAGAUUGAAAUUAUCCAAAAGUUACACAUUUUAGAGUUUAAAUCCCUAUCACUACCAUUGUAUUCGAGCUAUGAACAUUUUAGUUUUGUGAUAGAAUUAACAUUAAGUACAUAAAUAUGUGACAAUUUUGUUGCUAAAUCUAUUGUUUUGCAAUGCUUAAUAUAAAAUUUACAGUUUUAUGAUAAAAUUGCCACUAAAUUUGUAGUUUUAUGAUAGUUUGAUAAAAGUUCAUAUAGUUUUGUGAAAUUUGCCCUAAAAUCUCUAUGUGAAUUUAAAAUUAAGGAAUAAAUCUUACAAAUUGCAUAUGGUUGCGCAAGGAGAAAAUAAGGGCAUGUUUGGUUACCUUCUCCAAGCCAGGCUUGCAUCCGUGCAUGCAAUUGAUGAUGUUUAGUUGCCUGCACGCGCUUUAGGAUCAGGCUCCGAGCAUGCAAAAUCGCCUCUCCAGUUAGGCUCAAGAGAAACGCUCGGGUCGA